ACUGAGGGCAGUUUGACCCUCCCAGGUAGAUCUUGGUCAAGGCAUGUGAAGGGACAGUUGGGGGUUGGGGGGGAGCUGUAUUCAGCCUGCAGGCUGUAGUGUACUGCUCUGGUUUAGCAGGCCGAUCUUAAUUGUUCAAACUCCCUCCCUUCUUAGUGUUGUCCCUUAUUUUAGAGACAAAGUGCUAGAAAAGCCAGAGUCUGUUCAGUGAUCACAGAAAGGUCGCUAACAACCACAAAAGGCCACCUUUAGAGAAAAACCUCCACCAAGUGGAAGCAACAGAAAUUGGGAGCUUUUACCCUCCGGCAGAUGCUGAGAAAUGAAGAUUCUACUUUCUUCCCAUUGUCCCUCAACGGAAGGCUGGGUGUUUUAAUUAGCUAAUGUUGGCAAAUUGCUUUGAAGAAAAUUGUAAAAUGUUUCGUGCUCCAAGUGCCAAGAAUUCUAAUUAGCUUUUCUUAAAGAUACCACCUGGAAGCGUGAGCGCUUGUUGCUCGAGGUCCCAGCCAGCAAGAAUAACCUGCGGACCCCAAACCGGUUUUUAAGCAAACGCAACUGAAUACAAACAGAUCUCUACAUUGAUGUCACACUUUCUUCCUUCUGCUGAAUAUGAUUCCUAGCAGCUGGGAUAUUAAGCCCCCAGAAUGGAGCUUGUGCGUCUGAGGCCCUGCCCCGGCACGUCAAGGUCACAGAGAGGAGGAGGCGGGCAGCCACUCAAUCAUGCACCAGGGCCAGCUCCCAGGUCCCCCGGUCUGGGAGAGACGCGUGUAUGCUCUGUCGCUCUUAACAGCUGGGUAAUGAGUUUGCUCUCCAACAGUCUCGUUUCAUGUGGUGGCGGUGGUGACCGCAGCAGCAUCUGAUCUGUGUCACCGUCAGAAGCAAGUGAGAUGUAGUUAAUAUGGACCUUAGCCACCGACGGGCAUUGAUUGGGAAUCUCCAGGCACUGACAAAGUCCCGCUAAAUUGGCAGGGCCGGGCGCCAUGUGAGAGGAGGCGCCCAGCCCGGGGCCGGGGAGGAAUUCCUUACCCUCACCACCAUUGGCAUCUGGGGCCAGACGAGUCUUUGAGGUGGGAGCGGGGAGGCUGCUCUGUGCACUGUAGGGCUUUGGGCAGCAUCUCUGGCCUCUACCCAGUAGGUGCCAGUAGCAGCCCUCCUUCCCAGUGGCAACAAUGUCCCAGUGUGUCCCAGUGUCCCACGAUGUCCCAAAUCCAGCCUCACGUUCCCGAGAACCACCAGGUUAAGGGGAGGGGUGGGGCAGGGAGUCAUGUUGUUCAGGGACGCACUUGUACCAGCGACCUAGUGGAGAGGGGGCUCCAAGCAUCGCUCUUGAGUCCUCUGUGCCAUAUCCUCCUCUAAUCCACGAACAAGUCCCAAAGGUUCUACCUCGAAGGCAUGUUCUGCAGCAGACCACUUCCUGCCACCCUGCCUCGCCUGCUCUCAUUCAAGCCCCUCCAUUUCUAGUCUAGAAGAGGCCAGCAGCCUCCCAGCUGGUUCUCCCACUCCUGUUUGCUCCCUACAGAGGAACCCUCAGGAAAGGAAAGCAAGAGCAUCUCACCAUCCUGCUGGGAAGCCCCAGGCUCCCUAGCACGUACCCUUGAAAUCACCAGGCGGUGUGCUCUGUGGACUCCUCCCGUCUGCCCAGAGACAUCCUUCCUGCCCCUGGAUGUCUGGUUGAAUCUCUCCAGAGGCCUUCCCUCACCCCUACCCUGAAGACCAGACGUCCGUGUUCUCUGAUACAGGGGCCUCAGCCUCAGCACUGGUGCCAUUUGGGGCCAGACGAUUUCUGUAGUGGGAGCUGCCGUGGGCAUUGUAAGAUGUUGGGCAGCGUCCCUCACCCCUCCCC
ensembl:lncRNA